UACGGCGGGCGCAAGCGUUGUUCGGAAUUACUGGGCGUAAAGCGCGUGUAGGCGGUCUGGUAAGUCGGUUGUGAAAUCCCCGGGCUCAACCCGGGAACUGCAUCCGAAACUGCUGGGCUAGAGUUCCGGAGAGGAAGGCAGAAUUCCAAAUGUAGGGGUGAAAUCCGUAGAUAUUGGGAGGAAUACCAGUGGCGAAGGCGGCCUUCUGGACGGUGACUGACGAUGAGACGCGAAAGCGUGGGGAGCAAACAGG
rnacentral:rRNA from 1 species